GAUCCUCCCUACUUAGCCUCCCAAAACACUGAGAUUGCAGCCACGAGCCACUGCGCCUGGCCAGGUUUGAUUUCUGUAGUAGCUGUUCAAUUGUGGGUCAAGGGUCAGGUUCUGGGGUAAGGAGGUAUUGGGCUUCUCACAUUUAAGGUCAGAAGUCCAGUCCUGGGUCAGGGGUUGGGAUCAGAGAUCAAGGCUGAGCUCUGAGUUUGGAGGUCAGGGAUUGGACUCUCAGUGAUUGAAAUCCUUAGGUCAGAGGUACAGUCACUGAGGAUGGGGGUCAGGAGUGGAGUUCGGGACAGUCAAAGUCGAGGUUAAGUUUUGGGUCAUCACCUCCUUCCGCUGGGGCACGCGGCGCCACCAGACGUGGUCGCAGGAGGAGCAGGCAAACUGCCGGUCCACAGCAGGGAUAAGGUCGUCCUGGGCACGUUGAAACAUGCGUAGGUUGGCUUCUGUCAGUGGCAGGAGGGAGGUCGCCACUGCCUGUGGAAUGGGGCAGGUGGGGAUGAGGUUGGGGGGGUGUCACCCCUUCUGCACCAACAUAACCAUCAGCCCUCCUCUCCCUACAGAUGAGUCCUCUUCCUGCCCCAGUGAAUAUCUCCCCUCCUGCCCUAAUGGACAUCCUUCUGUGCCUGCAGAUGUCCCCCUCCCCACUUCCCCAUCCCAAGCCUUAGCCACCAACUCACCUGAAUGUCCCGGUCCUGUUUCAUAUCUUCUGGUGGAUCCUGGGUGGAGAUAGCAGGGGCAGAAACUGGGGAUGGGGCUCAGGUCUCUUUCCACCUGUUUGCUGGGGGAGGCCCCCGGCCGCAAUGAGAAUAGGGUGCCCCUAACUCGCCAGGAGCUCACAGAGCACCACUCACUUAUUGAGAGCCAGGUGUGUGGCCUCAGUUGUCCUCAUAGCAGCCCUGAGAGGUGGGCACACCUGUUACCUUAUUGCUCAGAUGGGAAAACUGAGGCUUAGGGGAGGGCUUGCCUGAGUGAGGCCAGCCUGACCCCCGUACUCACUUCCUGCCUGCAAAUGCCACAUGCUUGUUGGUGUUGUGACAUGUCGCCCCUUUGAGGCCAUGUUGUGCUCGGCUAAGUGGUGGGGAUCUGGAUUGAGAGGAAUGUGGGUUCGAAUCCCAGCUGUAUCACUUCCAGCUGUGGGGACUUGGGCAAGCCACUCCCUGCCCCCUGGGUUCCCACUGACAGGCAUGUUAGAGCCCAGGCUCUGACUCCAGGUGGCCAGGGUUCAAAUCGCAGCUGCCACCUGCUUGCUGGCAAGUGACUUCAGCCUCAGUUUCUUUGUCUGUGAAAUGGGGAUAAAUAAUAGGACCUGUCUCCUGGGGUCACUGCGGUGAUGAAAUAAAUCAAUUCCUGGUGUCUUG
rnacentral:antisense_RNA from 1 species